GGUUGCCAUAUUUUUGGAAAGUGUAACAAAAUGAAGGAUGGAAUGACAACUUGAUCAAAAGAGAAGUUAAAAUUUGAAAACUUAAUGAUUAUUGAAGAAAAAUUAAAGGAUUAGAAACCUCCCCUUAAAAUCUUAGUUCAUUUGUAAUUGUAGGAGCGAAAGUUGCCCUCAGUAGCACUUCCUCCUUGAUCAAAAUUUC
rnacentral:lncRNA from 1 species